rnacentral:rRNA from 1 species
UACAGAGGGUGCGAGCGUUAAUCGGAAUUACUGGGCGUAAAGCGUGCGUAGACGGUUAUGUAAGUCGGGUGUGAAAGCCCCGGGCUCAACCUGGGAAUUGCAUUCGAGACUGCAUAGCUAGGAUGCGGAAGAGGGAAGUGGAAUUUCCGGUGUAGCGGUGAAAUGCGUAGAUAUCGGAAGGAACAUCAGUGGCGAAAGCGACUUCCUGGUCCAGCAUCGACGUUCAGGCACGAAAGCGUGGGGAGCAAAC